GGAAUGCGAUAAGUAGUGUGAAUUGCAGAAUUCAGUGAAUCAUCGAAUCUUUGAACGCACAUUGCGCCUAUUAGUAUUCUAGUAGGCAUGCCUGUUUGAGUAUCAUGAAAUCUUCAAAGUAAAUCUUUUGUUAACUCAAUUGGUUUCUACUUUGGUAUUGGAGGUCUUUGCAGCUUCACACCUGCUCCUCUUUGUUCAUUAGCUGGAUCUCAGUGUUAUGCUUGGUUCCACUCGGCGUGAUAAGUUAUCUAUCGCUGAGGACACUGUAAAAGAUGGCCAAGGUAAAUGCAGAUGAACCGCUUCUAAUAGUCCAUUGACUUGGACAAUACUUUUAUGAUCUGAUCUCAAAUCAGGUAGGACUACCCGCUGAACUUAAGC
rnacentral:misc_RNA from 1 species